UAUUCUUUAUUUUUUCUGAUAGACCAUCUAAUUCGGCAUAUUCUGUCAGCUUUUGGAUCCAAUCUUGUAUAGAGGGGAUUUCAUGACUCUUCCAUUUUGCCGCGGUCAGAACUCUGCGGUCGUGCAAGUAUUUAUUAAGCGGCAUAGCAGAGCUGCGAGUUUAUUAACUUGGCAAAGACCACUUUCAGGCGUCAUUCUCAGUGGGAACAAAACCGCGAUGCAAACUGCCCAGGCUGACAGAUUUUGGUUUCCCCGAACGACACCAGUGGAAGGCAGAGAGGUCCAAGAGAACAAUCCUCUGGGAAGGGGACGUCUCUGAUGUUAAAGGAAAACUGAAGAUGGGCUUAACGCUAUAUUCUACAGGAGGAUUUUCUGUAGCUGAAACUUCCUUGUACACAUCUCUCGCCUUCUCCUAGAAAAACAGCUUAAGGCAGGGCUCCAGUAGCUGUUGGGGCUUCAACUCCCAUGACCAUCAGCCAGGCUGGCUGUGGAUGAUGGGAGUUGGAGUCCCAUUAACAAAGGGAAGGCUAGAGGCUCCCUGUAUCUCACUGUGUUAAAGACACACAAGGACAGCUCCCAUUCACUUAAAUGAGGGACAGGAGAAGUUCGCUGUGGACACUGGGCCCCUUGUUAACCAGCGGAAGGGGCCGCCACUUGGAUUUCCCAGCACCUCAGGCCUCAAAAUGUCUUGGGCCGGGACUGUAUUAUGUCGAAUCCAUGACUUUUGAGGGCCUCGGGGCGCAAUUUUCCAGAUUUCUCUUUUUUUCCUCCGGCUUCUGACUCAACCCUUUUCCAGUCCUCUCGGCAGCAGAAGCACCCCUGGAGCACCUCGGAGUUCAUCUGGGCUGCCGGCUGUCUUCUCCCUGGCUGGCAUUUCUUCCGCCACGCUCUAAUCCUGCACAGAUCUUGUGAUCAGUUUAACCAUCUCGGUUGUUCCUCCACUACCUGGGGACAAGAUGGAGCCUUGAAGAGCUUUGCUAGGGGGAACAUAGAUGCUCUGCAGAACUGCCAGCCGUCCGCACUGUGAUGGCCUGGGUCUUGGGCUCGGACUCGGAACCAGAGGAGACUCAGUCUGCACCAGAUCCUUUGCCUCGGGCAUCAUUUGAA